AAUUAAGGAACUGCCAAGGAGGAGGAAGCCAAGGGCAAUGUAGCCAACUCCUGAUUGCGAAGUAAUCCUGCUGCCCCUGUGUUUGCACCGCGCUGUCGCCUUCCCCAUAGCCGUCCCCGGAAUCCAAGAAAACUUUGGAUAUGAUCAAAUGAACUUCUUACAAUGCUCUCCAAUAUCAGAAUACUCUAAGCCUCUUUCAAGUUGCUCGGACUGGGAAAGUAGAAUCGAAGAAGGCAAAACCAUGAGGACAUCAAAUAAAAAAAUGACCAAUUCCGUGUCAAACGAUUCCCCUAAUCCAGUGGAAAGGGAAACCGAUGAGGUGGUCCUAAGGAGAAGGCAAAAACAGAUUAAUUUUGGAAAGAACACGCUUGCCUAUGACAGAUACAUUAAAGAAGUUCCCAAGAAUCAACGAAUACCAGGAGUCCACCCUAGAACUCCCAACAAAUUUAAGAAGUACAGCCGUAGAUCCUGGGACCAGCAGAUCAGGCUGUGGAAGAUAGCACUGCACGCCUGGGAUCCUCCUCAAGAAGAAAGCUGGGAUCUGCAGCCAGUUAAUACAGAACCUUCGAGUAGUUCCCAAGAACAGGUCUACAGAGAUCAGGAUGACUCUGACUGUCUGGUAUUUGAUGAAAAGCAGAAGAGAAAUGAUUGUGAAGACCAAUGUAGAGAGACAGAUUAUACACCAGAAAGCCUCUGUUCUCCCGACUCCUCUCCAGUAUGGAAACGCAGAAAACGGAACAGUCCUAACUCCUCUACAGGCAUAAAAGGCAAAAACCAUUUUGUGCAUAUGUGCCACACGCUGGAAGGUCUUACAGAAUCAGGAGACCAGGAAGCUUUUUCAAGGUGUUCCGAGUGGGGAACCUCAUGUGAAAAUGAUGAAAUAAUGACAAUACAGCAUGAUAUAGAAGUAAGUGACCAGGUUCCAGCCAGUUGUUCUUCAGGAUGGAAUGAUCAAGAACAGAAAAAAUCCAGCCUUUUGCAGGAUAGCAGAACAUGCAGAGACUCAGACUGCAGGCUAGAGAGGCUUAAACUUUGCAGCAAUUUAUUGGAAGGACAUCAAUCAGAAUACCUUGAGAGGGAAUGGGAAAAUGGAGGUGUUGAAGAGGAGAUAAUAAGGAAAAAAAUAUAAAUUGCAAGCCUUUGUAUAUAGAAGUAUCAAAGAAGAGGGACUUUCUCCUGUGACACAAUGAUUUGAAGGCUAGGGAUAUAUUCUGGGAUCAACAGAUCAAGCCUUGGAAGACUGGUGCAGUCUCAACUUCUGCAUGGAAAGAGGAAGAGACUGACAAUCAGCGUAUAUGUCAUCAACACAAGGUGAAUUGUGCAGGUUUCUCUAGAGCUUUAAGGAUAGAUAGACUUCUGUAAGCUUUGCCUCGAAUGUAAAACUUGAGGUUCAUUAAGCCUGGGCUAAGGAUGUUCCCUAAAGCUUUUGUGAGAAUGUUUCUGCUUUAUGAGUUGGCAGAUGCUGUGUAUGUUGUGUUGUUAAAGGCCACUUCAGUUUUUUGGAUCCUGCUGUUGCCAUUUGGAGAUGAUGCUACUUACAGUGCACUAAUGUUAUGCUGGUAAAUGGGUGCAAUACUGAGAGUGAAGGAUGUCAGCUCUUAAUCCACUGAGAUGAGCCAUUUUUUCCUUGUCCUGGACCAGAUUUCUAAGUCUGACUUAAAGAACUGCUUCAGAAGAAUGUAGGUGACUGCACCCUUCCCUGCAACUGUUGAAGACAAACUACUAGUUUUGGAUGGGGUGUUGAUCCACUUGGUUUAUUUUACAUUCUAGUAUAAUGUAUAUUAAGCUAACAUGUGCCUAAUCCUAGUGAGACCAAGAGAAAAGGAAAGGUUUAUCAAAAUUGCCCUCUGAGGGGAUGCGUAGCUUGAGCAGCAGUACGGCUUGAAUGUUUGAACUUUACUUCUGUGCCUGUUACAGGCUCACUGGGGAACUACGCUGCUGCUGAAAAUUGGGGAGGAUGAAUUCAGUGGCAGCUGUUUGCUACAGAAAUAGAGGAAAGCAGCAGUAUUUGCAGGCUUGCAGGUAGCUGCUCUUGGGUUUGGAGUGUCCUGGCUAAGGGCUGCUCUGGUCACCCUUGUUUUAUCUUUCUAGCAUUGUGCUCAGAGCGAGUACUGUGGCUACAGUGGAGUUUAGACCAGAUUCAUAUAUUAAGAGAAAGUUUUAUAGUCUUUUUAGUACAUUCUGUAUUGAGGCACAAGUGUCUGUUAGCAGCGGGGUUCUCACUGCAGUAAUUCAGCUUUGCAGCACUACUCCCAGUGUCUCAUAAACCAUAACCUAACCUUGUAUUGCUCAGACCUCUGCCAAGAGAGUCUUGAACCUGGCCUGGAUUUCUAGACAUGUUGUAAAUACUUCAAAACAUGCAGGAAACGCUGUGUAAAAGCCUGGGCAGCCUGUGGGACCUUGUGUUCCCCAAGGGCUGCUGUACACGCAGAAAUGCGUGACUGCUGUUCACCACCACAGAUCUGGCCUUUCCCAGGGUCUGCUGCUUUAACAGAAUUAUGCUAGGCCUCAUUAGAGCUGCCUGUCGGUAGAAUGUCAUUUUUGCUCUGUAUUCUGCUACACAAAGAGAGGCGGAGGGCAGCUCCUCUGUCUGAAAAGCAAGCCAGUUACAGCAGGGUGAGGAGAGGUGCAGGCCCAUGGGUGCCAUCCAGUCCUGCCCAGACAUGGACUGCACUGAUGUCCUAGCACAGCAGUGGCUCCCUCGUGUGUCUCUGCUUCAGAGCAUGGAAUUUGUGCAUACAGGGAACAGAUCCGUACAGCACAUUUUACGUAAUAUAUAGAGCCUUGUUGCAGUGUGCGUGUUUCCAUGUGUCAUGUGAUCUUUGUAAAUAAAGAAUUCUUU